GUGAUCAUUAGACUUUGACACUUGUUGAUCUGGACAAACAAAGCGCCUAUUUUAUGGACCCACUAAAAAGACGCUUACCCACAGGAGAUUGGAUGUCUAUCGUGGAAACUGCUAUGCGUAUGUAUAAUGCUGAAAAGAAAAAGCAAGGCCGGAGUUCAGUCCAAUGGAAAAUUUUGGCUGGCAUUCCUCCCCAACCUAGCAACAAGGAGUGUGGAUACUUUAUCAUGCGAUACAUGAGAGAUAUCAUUGAGGAUAAAGACAUGUCAUUGUUUCCUACGAAGGUAUCGACAUAUAUAUAUAGCUAUAAAUAUAGUCACUUGACUCAAUUUCUCAGAACUUUGUUAUUAUGUCCAUGCCUUAUUCACCAAAAAGUUUGGUCACUAAUCCUUUUGAUAUAAUAAACUGAUUUCA